UUAGAAGACGCUUUCUCGGAAAUCCGGUCGGAUAUCCGGAAAAUGUCGAAUAUUCGACUCGAAGAAAUUGCCUUCUCGGAUAUUCGACCGGAUAUCCAAAA